rnacentral:tRNA from 1 species
GGGAGUGUGGCUCAGUGGGUAGAGUGCUUGUCUAGCAUGCAUGAAACUCUGGGUUUGAUCCCCAUGCAAAGCCA